UGCCAGCCGCCGCGGUAAUACGGAGGGUGCAAGCGUUGUUCGGAAUCACUGGGCGUAAAGCGCACGUAGGCGGCUGAUCGUGUCGAAUGUGAAAGCCCUCGGCUCAACCGAGGAAGUGCAUUCGAAAUUGGUCAGCUUGAGUCCGGUAGAGGAGGGUGGAAUUCCGGGUGUAGAGGUGAAAUUCGUAGAUAUCCGGAGGAACACCAGUGGCGAAGGCGACCCUCUGGGCCGGUACUGACGCUGAGGUGCGAAAGUGUGGGGAGCAAACAGGAUUAGAUA
rnacentral:rRNA from 1 species